rnacentral:misc_RNA from 1 species
AACGCACCUUGCACUCUUUGCGUAAGUAAAGAGUAUACCUGUUUGAGAAUCAGUUCAUAACUACACACACCGUGUGUGUGUGUGAUUUGGCCGUCAGCUUCUGCCGUCGGUUUAAAUGCAGUAAGCUCCAGUUACGAUUAAGGCGUUUGGACAUUGUGUGAUAGAGACACUAGUUGUCUGCUCACAAUGCGUCUAAGCGGAUCACCGGUUGUAGCUGGGCUUUGCUUACAGUGCUGCAAGCCAGCCAUUUCUUUUGAUCUCAAAUCAGGUAAGGCUACCCGCUGAACUUAA